rnacentral:misc_RNA from 1 species
UAUCAUGCGUAGACAGCCAAGUCAAAUCCUCUUUUUGAGAGUGUGAGGAAAGCCUUAGGGUGACACCAUAAUGUAGUGAUGUCCCAUAUACACCAAUCUCAAAGAUUUACUUGUAAUGAAGUCAGUCCAAUGCGAUGGGUGAGAGAUUAAGAGUCCAGGAAGCUAGAUGUAUGGCUUUCCAGAUGACAGGACAGGAGAACACUUGUCAGCUACUGGACAACAAGGGCUAUCCUGACCUGAUUUUCUCACGGGUCCGGAGCUACACUUCGUCCUCAGAGAUCCCUCUCCUGUGAUUCCAACCAAUCAGGCGCCUUCCCCUCCCCCUCCCCCUGAAACAACGACAUCAUCAGCCAGCACACAGUGGCCGAUCUUCCAUCAGUGUUGUUGCACUAACAAGCUUAUGUCUGAUUGGAAUUGUUUUGCUAAUUUUGAUUUGAGAAAGGUUUUGUUUGAUAAAUUAUUUUACUUAGGUUUAUUUUGGUAUGCAAACUGUACUAAUUUUUUAUGUUAUCAUUAUUUUGAAAGUUUUUUUUUGGCAAAUUAACUAACCCAUAUGCAGAUAAAGAAUAAUGCUGGUACACCUGUAAAUGGUUGAUUUUUUUCAUAACGUUUUUGAUAUGUCCGCAUUCUGACAUUUUUAUUGUAGAGAAGACCUAUGGCAGGAUCUGAGGAUUUACCUCUCUAUUGUCUGUGUGAUCUAUUAGGGAAGUAGAUGAAUUUCAAUUUUAUCUUUUAUUCAUAAAUAUAUUUGAUUUGAGUGUUGUUUGCUAGGACAUUUAUUUGAACUUUAUGUCACAAUGAAAGUACAAUUUACUGC